UACGGAAGGCAGCAGUGGGGAAUAUUGCACAAUGGGCGCAAGCCUGAUGCAGCCAUGCCGCGUGUAUGAAGAAGGCCUUCGGGUUGUAAAGUACUUUCAGUCGUGAGGAAGGUGUUAAGGUUAAUAACCUUAGCAAUUGACGUUAGCGACAGAAGAAGCACCGGCUAACUCCGUGCCAGCAGCCGCGGUAAUACGGAGGGUGCGAGCGUUAAUCGGAAUUACUGGGCGUAAAGGGCACGCAGGCGGUUAAUUAAGUUGGAUGUGAAAUCCCCGGGCUUAACCUGGGAAUGGCAUUCAAGACUGGUUAGCUAGAGUCUUGUAGAGGGGGUAGAAUUCCAUGUGUAGCGGUGAAAUGCGUAGAGAUGUGGAGGAAUACCGGUGGCGAAAGGCGGCCCCUGGACAAAGACUGACGCUCAUGUGCGAAAGCGUGGGGAGC
rnacentral:rRNA from 1 species